UCAGUCGACUCCUACGGGAGGCAGCAGUGAGGAAUAUUGGUCAAUGGAGGGAACUCUGAACCAGCCAUCCCGCGUGUAGGAAGACGGCCUUAUGGGUUGUAAACUACUUUUAUACAGGAAGAAACGUACCCUCGUGAGGGUGCCUGACGGUACUGUAGGAAUAAGCACCGGCUAACUCCGUGCCAGCAGCCGCGGUAAUACGGAGGGUGCGAGCGUUAUCCGGAUUUAUUGGGUUUAAAGGGUCCGUAGGCGGAUUAAUAAGUCAGUGGUGAAAUCCCAUCGCUUAACGAUGGAACUGCCAUUGAUACUGUUAGUCUUGAAUGAGGGUGCAGUGGUUGGAAUGUGUAGUGUAGCGGUGAAAUGCAUAGAUAUUACACAGAACACCGAUUGCGAAGGCAGAUCACUAACCCUAAAUUGACGCUGAGGGACGAAAGCGUGGGGAGCGAACAGGAUUAGAUACCCUGGUAG
rnacentral:rRNA from 1 species